UGUUAAAAAUUCCAUUUAUCUGUAAUGUUAAAAAUUGAUGUGCCUAACUGAAUAACCAAAUAGUAACACGUGGCGUGACAUAUGUAUGUCAUACUUACGUACAAAGACCAAUUUUUAACAAUAAAAAUAGAUAAAAAUUUUAAAA
rfam:Gossypium arboreum cultivar AKA8401 contig_6772_1, whole genome shotgun sequence.